rnacentral:rRNA from 1 species
UACGUAGGGUGCAAGCGUUGUCCGGAAUUAUUGGGCGUAAAGAGCUUGUAGGCGGUUUGUCGCGUCUGCUGUGAAAUUUCGGGGCUCAACCCCGAACUUGCAGUGGGUACGGGCAGACUAGAGUGUGGUAGGGGAGACUGGAAUUCCUGGUGUGGCGGUGAAAUGCGCAGAUAUCAGGAGGAACACCGAUGGCGAAGGCAGGUCUCUGGGCCAUAACUGACGCUGAGAAGCGAAAGCAUGGGGAGCGAACAGG